GAUGAACGCUGACAGAAUGCUUAACACAUGCAAGUCAACUUGAAUUUGGGUUUUUAACUUAGGAUUGGGUGGCGGACGGGUGAGUAACGCGUAAAGAACUUGCCUCACAGCUAGGGACAACAUUUGGAAACGAAUGCUAAUACCUAAUAUUAUGAUAAUAGGGCAUCCUAUAAUUAUGAAAGCUAUAAGCGCUGUGAGAGAGCUUUGCGUCCCAUUAGCUAGUUGGAGAGGUAACGGCUCACCAAGGCGAUGAUGGGUAGCCGGCCUGAGAGGGUGAUCGGCCACAAGGGGACUGAGACACGGCCCUUACUCCUACGGGAGGCAGCAGUGGGGAAUAUUGGACAAUGGACCGAGAGUCUGAUCCAGCAAUUCUGUGUGCACGAUGAAGUUUUUCGGAAUGUAAAGUGCUUUCAGUUGGGAAGAAACAAAUGACGGUACCAACAGAAGAAGUGACGGCUAAAUACGUG
rnacentral:rRNA from 1 species